AACUCACCUCCCUCAGAGUCCUUAGUCUAAGAUCCAACGGCCUCUCCGGCCCAAUUCCACCGGACAUCCUAUCCAUCCCGUCACUCGAAUUCCUCUACCUCCAGGGAAACAAUUUCUCCGGCGAAUUCCCCACCUCCGUCUCGCCGAAAUUGACCGCCGUGGAUCUGUCAUUCAACUCGUUUCCGGGACGGAUCCCGGGCCCAAUUCCACCGGACAUCCUAUCCAUCCCGUCACUCGAAUUCCUCUACCUCCAGGGAAACAAUUUCUCCGGCGAAUUCCCCACCUCCGUCUCGCCGAAAUUGACCGCCGUGGAUCUGUCAUUCAACUCGUUUUCGGGUCGGAUCCCGGGCUCGGUUCAAAACCUGACCCGACUCGCUGCUCUGUACCUCCAGAACAAUUCGAUCACCGGAGACUUGAAA
rnacentral:lncRNA from 1 species